rnacentral:rRNA from 1 species
UACGUAGGGUGCGAGUGUUGUCCGGAAUUAUUGGGCGUAAAGAGCUCGUAGGCGGUCUGUCGCGUCGAUCGUGAAAACUCGGGGCUCAACUCCGAGCUUGCAGUCGAUACGGGCAGGCUAGAGUGCGGCAGGGGAGACUGGAAUUCCUGGUGUAGCGGUGAAAUGCGUAGAGAUCGGGAGGAACAUCUGUGGCGAAGGCGACUGCCUGGACCAGCACUGACACUGAGGCACGAAAGCGUGGGGAGCAAACAGG